ensembl:snoRNA SNORA70 Small nucleolar RNA SNORA70
AAGAGAAUAAAUAGCGUGACCAUAAAUACGGAAAACACACAAAGACUCUUCAGCUGCAAACAACAGCUUCCUUGGUAGUGUAUGCAGCCUGUUUCUUGUAUGGGCUGCUCUAAGGGACCCUGGAGACAGGC